rnacentral:rRNA from 1 species
AUACGGAGGAUGCGAGCGUUAUCCGGAUUUAUUGGGUUUAAAGGGUGCGUAGGCUGUGCGUUAAGUCAGGGGUGAAAUGCCGUCGCUCAACGACGGAGCUGCCCUUGAUACUGGCGUGCUGGAGUACGGAUGCCGUUGGAGGAAUGAGUGGUGUAGCGGUGAAAUGCUUAGAUAUCACUCAGAACACCGAUUGCGAAGGCAUCUGACGAAUCCGUCACUUACGCUGAGGCACGAAAGCGUGGGGAUAGAACAGGAUUAGAUACCCUGGUAUUCCACGCCGUAAACGAUGAUGACUAACCGUCGGCGAUAGACAGCCGGUGGCCAAGCGAAAGCGAUAAGUCAUCCACCUGGGGAGUACGUCGGCAACGAUGAAACUCAAAUGAAUUGGCGGGG